AGGCACGUAUUCAUUUUUUUGUAAGAAAAUUUCUCACAAACCGAGAAUUUAUAAAAUUAUGUUCCGGUCUUUUUCUUCUUCUAUUCCCGACAAACUAUCUUUCUUCUUCCGGAAUUCCUUUUCUUCUCCCUCCGAACUCUGAAGUGAUCCCGAUAAUUUGUUGUUGAUGUUUAUAAGGGUUAGAAGAUGAUUUGAAGUUUGAGAAUUGUUUCCUUUGAAUGUAGUUGAGAUGUUGUGUAUGAAGAGAAAAUUAGGUCAUGGAUUUGAGCUGGAUUGAUGGUGAUGAGAUUUAACAGGAGAAGGAAAAAUAUAUGAGUUGUGAACUCGAUAUUUAUUAAAAUCGAAUUUCGGGGUUUCUGAGACUGAAAUUAGGUUGAGUUGCAUAAUUUGUUUUCUUCAAUUUGAUAAAACUCAUUUUUAGAUCUGGAAAUUAUGAUUGAGUGCUGAUAUUCCAAUCGAUUUUUCUAAUCAUUUUAUUCUUUCGGAAAUUAAGCUAUAAGUUAGGUUUAAUUCAGUGGAGACUUGUAAAGCGACAUCUUCUUCUAUUGAAGGGGCCUUGGUUACCGGGAGACCACCGUCUUCUUCAUAUUCGUGAAAUUCAAGGUCUUGCACGCUGGAAAUACAAACAAAAAUGCCUUCAUGGCACUUAUUGUUGGAGAGUACUCUGGAAUCAAAGUUGAUCUUGAAUGAAGUUUUAUAGCACUUGCUAGUGAUGGAAGCAUUUGUGAGACACGAGUUUGUUGUAAGUUUUAAGAUAUGUAAAUGAUAAUCUAUUGUCAUACCAUUAGGAAUCAGUUUGUGUUAUUACCUUGUUGUAAUUGGAAUGCCUAGGCUCGAUGUUUGUUUAUUGGACUUUUCAUUUUACCUUCUUUGCACUGUUUGUUCUGUUCCGUGGAUUAGUUUGGUUAUCUACCCCAGCUAAUACUUAACCUGGAUAAGCUUUAAAAUUUUAACCGUACCUUGGGUUGGUGUUUUAUCUACAACUCACAAAUUUAAGCUGCUAAUGGACUUGCUAUAGUGCUGCCAAUGGAGUUGUUGUUGACAGUGGUUGAUGAAUGGUAAUGCAGAGGUGAUGUUGCUGUAGGAUGGAGUUGUUGUUGCUAUAGAGUAUGGUAAUCCCUGUAAAGGGCUUCUAUGAUGUUGUCAGGCAUAAGGGUGUGGGUUUAACUUUUGCAAUUAUGGGGAUGACUCCAUUUACAAAUGGUUCAGCUGAUGGAACCAAUCUAACUGGCACGGAUGAAAUUAGACUAAUGCCUGAUUUGUCGACCAAGAGGAUACUCGCACGGUUCAAAAAAUGUGUUGUUUAAUUGGCUUUAUCUGUCUCAUUUUUGUUACCAGCUUUGUCCAUGUUGAAUUGUUGAUAUUAUCACAUUAAGCCUUUAUUAUUUUCCUGCAUAACCUGUUAUGCAGUCCAGGAAACGGCUGCAUAACACGUUAUGCAGCAACUUUUUUGGUACUAUUGAAACCAAUAAAAACAAAGACUGCAUAAUUUGUCAUGCACCUAUAAUAAUAUUUGCAUAACAUGUUAUGCAGUCGUGAAAAUGGAUGCAUAAAGCAUUAUGGAACAACUUUUU